GAGUUUGAUCCUGGCUCAGGAUGAGCGCUAGCGGCAGGCCUAAUACAUGCGAGUCGGACGGGAUUGGAGAGCUUGCUUUCCAUGAGAGUGGCGCACGGGUGCGUAACACGUAUGUAACCUACCUUUGUCAGGGGGAUAGCCUCUCGAAAGAGAGAUUAAGCCCGCAUAAAAUCACAGUACAGCAUUGUAUAAUGAUCAAAUAUUUAUAGGACAAAGAUGGGCAUGCGGAACAUUAGCUAGUUGGUAAGGUAACGGCUUACCAAGGCAACGAUGUUUAGGGGAUCUGAGAGGAUGACCCCCCACACUGGUACUGAGACACGGACCAGACUCCUACGGGAGGCAGCAGUAAGGAAUAUUGGUCAAUGGGCGGAAGCCUGAACCAGCCAUGCCGCGUGCAGGAAGACGGCCCUACGGGUUGUAAACUGCUUUUGCAGGGGAAUAAACCCCCGUACGUGUACGGGGCUGAAAGUACCUUGAGAAUAAGGAUCGGCUAACUCCGUGCCAGCAGCCGCGGUAAUAC
rnacentral:rRNA from 1 species